GUAUGCCUCUAACUCAGCAUCAUGUUUAUAAAAAUAUGAUCUAGAUGUCAGAAAUGAAAUUAAAAUAAUAGAUUGAUUCUCUUAAGAAUCCAACUACCUAUUUUACUAUUCACUACACUGAAACCUGUAUCUGUCGCUUGUCGAUAUGAUGCUGGGGACCGUGCUUGGUGGGGAGUGUAACUGGGGCGGUUGCCUCCUAAAACGUAACGGAGGCGCACAAAGGUAGGCUAAGUCCGGAUGGAAAUCGGACUGAUAGUGUAUUCGCACAAGCCUGCUUGACUGAGAGACCUACAAGUCGAUCAGAGACGAAAGUCGGUGAAAGUGAUCCGGCACCAACAUGUGGGAGUGGUGUCGCUCAACGGAUAAAAGUUA
rnacentral:rRNA from 1 species